rnacentral:rRNA from 1 species
CAGUCGCCGCGGGAAUACGAAGGGUGCAAGCGUUAAUCGGAAUUACUGGGCGUAAAGCGUGCGUAGGCGGUUUGUUAAGUCUGCUGUGAAAUCCCCGGGCUCAACCUGGGAAUGGCAGUGGAUACUGGCAAGCUAGAGUGUGUCAGAGGAUGGUGGAAUUCCCGGUGUAGCGGUGAAAUGCGUAGAGAUCGGGAGGAACAUCAGUGGCGAAGGCGGCCAUCUGGGACAACACUGACGCUGAGGCACGAAAGCGUGGGGAGCAAACAGGAUUAGAUACCCCCCGUAGUCCCUGUCUCUUAUA